rnacentral:rRNA from 1 species
UACAGAGGGUGCGAGCGUUAAUCGGAAUUACUGGGCGUAAAGCGCACGUAGGUGGCGACGUAAGUCGGGUGUGAAAGCCCCGGGCUCAACCUGGGAAUUGCAUUCGAGACUGCAUUGCUGGAGUACGGAAGAGGAAGGCGGAAUUCCCGGUGUAGCGGUGAAAUGCGUAGAUAUCGGGAUGAACAUCAGUGGCGAAGGCGGCCUUCUGGUCCAGUACUGACACUCAAGUGCGAAAGCGUGGGGAGCAAACAGG